GCUAGGCAAAAAUCUCCAAUCAGCAGUGUGAGAAUACACCAAGACCUGAGUGGAGCACCCACAGGAACACCACUCGAGGGAGAACAAAGAAGCUCCUAAUGAAGCCUAAUUAGCUCUAUCUGUGAAGAGGGGGAGAGGAGGUCAUAUAGAGGAUCCUCAAGGGAUCCAUUCUGAAGCACUCGGAAGAGACAAAAGUGAUCAGGAAGAGUCAACAUGGAGUCAUCGAGGACAAUCAUGCGUGACCAACCUGACUGCCUUCUAUGACAAGAGCUGAGGACUGCAGAGCCCACCCCUGCAUCCUGCCUGGCCUGUUGCGCCAGCGCGUAGUGUGCCGUAAAGGUGUGGAGUGAAGACCACAUGGCCGCCCUGCAAAUUUCGGUGAUUGGAACCUGCGCCCCAAAUGCAACAGAGGACGCCUGCGCCCUGGUAGAGUGUGCUGUAACCUGGGGUGGGACCUUCCCGGCCAGGGUGUAACACUCCCUAAUGCACCCUGAGACACAGUUGGACAACCUCUGGGUUGAAAUGGGGAGCCCUUUCACCCUGUCCGCGACAGCAAUAAACAGCUGCUGAGACCUGCAAAAGGGUUUGGUCCUAUCAAUAUAAAAAGCUAGCGCACGCCUAGCAUCCAGGGUAUGGAGCACCUGCUCCUUGGGUGAGGCAUGGGGUUUUGGAAAGAAAACCAGGAGAUAGAUUUCCUGAGACAAAUGAAAAGGUGAUACCACCUUGGGGAGAAAAGCUGGAUGGGGGUGGAGCCUCACGUUAUUGUCAGAAAACACCAGGUAGGGCGGAUUUAUAGUCAACGCCCUCAAUUCGGAAACUCUGCGAGCCGACGUAAUGGCCACAAUGAAUGCAACCUUCCAGGAGAGGUGCUUCAAAGAACACGUAGCCAG